rnacentral:rRNA from 1 species
AGUGAACGCUGGCGGUAGGCCUAACACAUGCAAGUCGAACGGCAGCACAGUAAGAGCUUGCUCUUACGGGUGGCGAGUGGCGGACGGGUGAGGAAUACAUCGGAAUCUACUUUUUCGUGGGGGAUAACGUAGGGAAACUUACGCUAAUACCGCAUACGACCUACGGGUGAAAGCAGGGGAUCUUCGGACCUUGCGCGAUUGAAUGAGCCGAUGUCGGAUUAGCUAGUUGGCGGGGUAAGGGCCCACCAAGGCGACGAUCCGUAGCUGGUCUGAGAGGAUGAUCAGCCACACUGGAACUGAGACACGGUCCAGACUCCUACGGGAGGCAGCAGUGGGGAAUAUUGGACAAUGGGCGCAAGCCUGAUCCAGCCAUACCGCGUGGGUAAAGAAGGCCUUCGGGUUGUAAAGCCCUUUUGUUGGGAAAGAAAAGCAGCAGGUUAAUACCCCGCUGUUCUGACGGUACCCAAAGAAUAAGCACCGGCUAACUUCGUG